rnacentral:rRNA from 1 species
GUCGUGAGAUGUUGGGUUAAGUCCCGUAACGAGCGCAACCCUUGUCCUAGUUACCAGCACGUUAUGUGGGCACUCUAAGGAGACUGCCGGUGACAACCGGAGGAAGGUGGGGAUGACGUCAAGUCAUCAUGGCCCUUACGGCCUGGGCUACACACGUGCUACAAUGGUCGGUACAAAGGGUUGCCAAGCCGCGAGGUGGAGCUAAUCCCAUAAAACCGAUCGUAGUCCGGAUCGCAGUCUGCAACUCGACUGCGUGAAGUCGGAAUCGCUAGUAAUCGUGAAUCAGAAUGUCACGGUGAAUACGUUCCCGGGCCUU